GUCUAUUAAAGGUUAAGAAUCUAAGAAAAUUUAAGUAAAACAUUAUAUUAGGUAAGAGAUUUUUAGUAUUGUGUAAAGAACAGUUUUAAAAACUUCGAUAGAGAAAGUACCGUGAGGGAAAGGUGAAGAAUAAGGCCUUAAAAUUAAGAAAAGAAGACCUAUGUCUUACCUUUUGCAUUAUGGUUGGUUAAAUAAAAUGAUCGAGUUGUUCAAUGGACGAAGUGGGACGAGUUACUUUUUUCUUUGGCGAGGCCUUAAUCUUUCGGUGUUGCAGAACUUGGAAGAAGAGGGGAAAGUAGGGGUGAUACGCUUAUCGAGUUCCAUGUUAGCUUUUUUUUGAGGAAUUAGGUAUAAGCCUAACUUAUGUUGUCUUAAGGUAGAGAGUUGCGGAUGAGCGCUAUUCUCUUAGAGAAAACAGUCUUUGCUUAUGAGUUAAGUUAAUGAGAAAAUUAAGAGUUUAGGUAAGUAUGUUAAUCUUAGUAGCUUUCUUCUGGAGUGUGUCGGAGCUCACUAAACUUUUGUCUAAUGUUGAUGUGUUAGGCUGAACUCUUUAAAUAUUACUCAAAUUUCUUGGUAGCGGGAGGAAAUAUGACUAAAUGAGUAAAGCAAGGCCUCAUUUAAGAAAUAACCUAAAGAGAGUGCGCAGGGCUUUCUUUUUGUUUAAGUUUUCUUAUAGAAGUGAGGUUAAAGAUUGUUAAAGUGUGGAAAGGAACUCGGCAAAUCUCUCUUGCGCCUGUUUACCAAAAACAACGCCUUCGGAAAAAGAUCGAAAGGUUCUGCCUGCCCGGUGACUUAAGAGGUUAAACGGCUGCAGUACCCUGACUGUGCAAAGGUAGCAUAAUCAUCUGUUCAUUAAUUGUGGACUGGCAUCAACGGCUAGACGACAAGAAAGCUGUCUCCCUACACUGAUCUUGAAUUUAACGUAGAGGUGAAGAGGCCUCUAUUUGGCAGUGGGACGAGAAGACCCUAUUGAGCUUUAAUCUCUGCUAAACUGUUUUUGGUAAGAGGUUUGGGUUGGGGCAACUGUUUUUAUGUUUUAAAACAAAGGCACAAUAAGGAUAAAUUAAUUUUAAGGCGAGACCCAAAAAAGUUUGAUCAUUAGAACAAGUUACCUUAGGGAUAACAGCGUUAUUUUCCCCGAAAGUCCUUAUUGACGGGAAAGUUUGCGACCUCGAUGUUGGAUCAAGGCCCCCUGGGUGUGCAGAAGCCCCCAACGGUUGGUUUGUUCAACCAUUAAAGCCUUACGUGAUCUGAGUUCAGUCCGUCGUGAGACAGGACAGUUUCUAUCUACUUAAUGACUCUUUCUAGUACGAAAGGAAUUUUAGAGGGCAGCCAACGGGCAAGCUGUGCUGCUAAAAAAACCUAAACAAUAUAAAA
rnacentral:rRNA from 1 species